CCUACGGGUGGCAGCAGUGAGGAAUAUUGGUCAAUGGACGCAAGUCUGAACCAGCCAAGUCGCGUGCAGGAAGACGGCCCUAUGAGUUGUAAACUGCUUUUGUACGGGGGUAAACCCAGACACGCGUAUCUGUUUGAAUGUACUGUAUGAAUAAGGAUCGGCUAACUCCGUGCCAGCAGCCGCGGUAAUACGGAGGAUUCGAGCGUUAUCCGGAUUUAUUGGGUUUAAAGGGUGCGUAGGCGGGCGGUUAAGUUAGAUGUGAAAGUCUGAGGCUCAACUUCGGAAUUGCAUCUGAUACUGGUAGGCUAGAGAGUAGUUGCGGUAGGCGGAAUGUAUGGUGUAGCGGUGAAAUGCUUAGAGAUCAUACAGAACACCGAUUGCGAAGGCAGCUUACCAAGCUACUUCUGACGUUGAGGCACGAAAGCGUGGGGAGCAAACAGGAUUAGAUACCCCUGUAGUC
rnacentral:rRNA from 1 species